rnacentral:rRNA from 1 species
AGUGAACGCUGGCGGCAGGCCUAAUACAUGCAAGUCGAACGGCAGCACAGCAGAGCUUGCUCUGUGGGUGGCGAGUGGCGGACGGGUGAGGAAUACAUGGGAAUCUGCCCAGUCGUGGGGGAUAACGUAUGGAAACGUACGCUAAUACCGCAUGCGCCCUACGGGGGAAAGCCGGGGACCGCAAGGCCUGGCGCGAUUGGAUGAGCCCAUGUUCGAUUAGCUAGUUGGCGGGGUAAAGGCCCACCAAGGCGACGAUCGAUAGCUGGUCUGAGAGGAUGAUCAGCCACACUGGAACUGAGACACGGUCCAGACUCCUACGGGAGGCAGCAGUAGGGAAUAUUGGACAAUGGGGGCAACCCUGAUCCAGCCAUGCCGCGUGAGUGAAGAAGGCCUCGGGUUGUAAAGCUCUUUGUCCGGAAAGAAAGCAAUCGGUUAAUACCCGGUUGUCCUGACGGUACCGGAAGAAUAAGCACCGGCUAACUUCGUGCC